GCAUAUCAAUAAGCGGAGGAAAAGAAACUAACAAGGAUUCCCCUAGUAACUGCGAGUGAAGCGGGAAAAGCUCAAAUUUAAAAUCUGGCGGUCUUUGGCCGUCCGAGUUGUAGUCUGGAGAAGCGUCUUCCGCGUUGGACCGUGUACAAGUCUCUUGGAACAGAGCGUCAUAGAGGGUGAGAAUCCCGUCUUUGACACGGACUACCAAUGCUUUGUGAUGCGCUCUCAAAGAGUCGCGUUGUUUGGGAAUGCAGCGCAAAAUGGGAGGUGAAUUCCUUCUAAAGCUAAAUAUUGGCGAGAGRCCGAUAGCGAACAAGUACCGUGAGGGAAAGAUGAAAAGCACUUUGGAAAGAGAGUUAAACAGUACGUGAAAUUGCUAAAAGGGAAACGCUUGAAGUCAGUCGCGUCGUCCGGAACUCAGCUUUGCUUCGGCUUAGUGCACUUUCCGGUUGACGGGCCAGCAUCGAUUUUGACCGCUGGAAAAGGGCUGGAGGAAUGUGGCACCUUCGGGUGUGUUAUAGCCUUCAGUCGCAUACAGCGGUUGGGAUCGAGGAACGCAGCGCGCCUUAUGGCUGGGGUUCGCCCACAUUCGCGCUUAGGAUGCUGGCAUAAUGGCUUUAAACGACCCGUCUUGAAACACGGACC
rnacentral:rRNA from 1 species